CCUACGGGUGGCAGCAGUGGGGAAUAUUGCACAAUGGGGGAAACCCUGAUCCAGCGACGCCGCGUGAGUGAAGAAGGAUUUCGGUCUGUAAAGCUCUAUUAGCAGGGAAGAAAAUGACGGUAACUGAAUAAGAUGCUCCGGCUAACUACGUGCCAGCAGCCGAGGUACGACGGAGGGGGCAAGGGGUAUCCGGAUUUACUGGGUGUAAAGGGAGCGUAGACGGAAGGACAAGUCAGGAGUGAAAUGCCGGGGCUUAACCCUAGAACUGCUUUGGAAACUGGGCAGCUAGAGUGCAGGAGAGGUGAGUGGAAUUCCGAGUGUAGCGGUGAAAUGCGUAGAUAUCACGAAGAACUCCAAUGGCGAAGGCAGCUUACUGGACUGUAACUGACAUUGAGGCUCGAAAGUGUGGGGAGCAAACAGGAUUAGAUACCCUAGUAGUC
rnacentral:rRNA from 1 species